CGAAACUCCAACUCAAUAAAAUAAAAUCUUUCAAAUCAAAAUGCUAUUGUGUUUGUUCAUUGGAGAUAACCAUUGAAUAUGGAUAACAAGUAGCAGUUAGGUAUUUGCAGUUUCAUUUGGUUUUAGGUUUUUGAGGGGAGGAUCACUGUAGUGGGCAGUUGGUUUCUGCAGGCAAAGCAUGGCAUUCCACAGGCGUUAAGUGCCUCGUGAUUGGCUUCUGCGUUGGAAACCUAAGAAUAAGCAAGCACACUUGGGCAGAAGUUCAAAUCCAGGUGCAGAGAAGCAGAGGGUAUGCUUACACCUGCUCAAGGUUGUAUGUGUUGUUAUGGGUAUUAGACCAGUGGUUGCAUGAGGUGAAUAAGGGUGGUUUGGGGUAUGCUAUUUGUGUUUAUAAACUUCAUAAGAAAUUGCAAAAACAGACUGCAUCAUUUAUCAAUAUGUGAUGAAUAUUUUGGUUUUAUUUAAUACACUGAAUAGUUUUUUAAAUACCUUGAAAUACCACCUCAAAGAUGGGACUCUCAAUUUCUAAAAUGGCUCCUGGUAUUGGCUUAGAAUCCCUUCCCCUUAAUUAGUCUGGACCUAGUGCAACUUCUCAGACUUGCUACCCCAUUUUCUCAUUCUCCUUGGCUUGCUCCCUUUUAAUUAAGCGGCCAUGUUAGGAGAGGCCAAUGUAGCAAGCAACUGAGGGCGAGCCAUUAGUGUGGGAGGAGUGAGCAACCAUGUGAGUUUGUAAACAUGUUUUUCCAAAGCAGAGGCGUGAUGACAACCACCCCAGAAAACCACUUGCAGAUACCUGUGAGAAACAGCAGGACCCACCCAGACUCUGCUUGGAUUCCUGACCUAUGGGAAAUGUAUUUCAAGCCAUUAGGUUUUGAGGUAACUUCCUACAAAGCAGUAAAUUCUAAAUUCCAUAAUGAAAUCCCCAGUCUAAAAGUCUUGACUUGAGAGCACCUCUGUUAACCUAAGUAAGUCAGCUGACGCCACUUCAGUUUCUUGGCACAGCAUUCAAAGCUGUUGGCUGGCCAACAACCUGCAUUUUCAGACUUGUGCAUUUGACUUAACAUGUCCAAAGCUGAAUGCCUGAUGCUUUACUCCUUAACCCCAAUCCCUGCAAAUCUGCUUCCUACAAUCUUCCCUUCCCAGGUAUUGGCAACACCAGCAGUCCAGUUGGUCAGGAGCUGUGCAAUCAACCUCAUGUACCAUGUGAAACCCUUGGCUAAUCCUAUUGCUUCUAUCUUCAGAAUACAUCUGAAGCCCA